GCUCAGGACGAACGCUGGCGGCGUGCUUAAUACAUGCAAGUUGAGCGAUGAAGAUUGGUGCUUGCACCAAUUUGAAGAGCAGCGAACGGGUGAGUAACGCGUGGGGAAUCUGCCUUUGAGCGGGGGACAACAUUUGGAAACGAAUGCUAAUACCGCAUAAUAACUUUAAACAUAAGUUUUAAGUUUGAAAGAUGCAAUUGCAUCACUCAAAGAUGAUCCCGCGUUGUAUUAGCUAGUUGGUGAGGUAAAGGCUCACCAAGGCGAUGAUACAUAGCCGACCUGAGAGGGUGAUCGGCCACAUUGGGACUGAGACACGGCCCAAACUCCUACGGGAGGCAGCAGUAGGGAAUCUUCGGCAAUGGACGAAAGUCUGACCGAGCAACGCCGCGUGAGUGAAGAAGGUUUUCGGAUCGUAAAACUCUGUUGGUAGAGAAGAACGUUGGUGAGAGUGGAAAGCUCAUCAAGUGACGGUAACUACCCAGAAAGGGACGGCUAACUACGUGCCAGCAGCCGCGGUAAUACGUAGGUCCCGAGCGUUGUCCGGAUUUAUUGGGCGUAAAGCGAGCGCAGGUGGUUUAUUAAGUCUGGUGUAAAAGGCAGUGGCUCAACCAUUGUAUGCAUUGGAAACUGGUAGACUUGAGUGCAGGAGAGGAGAGUGGAAUUCCAUGUGUAGCGGUGAAAUGCGUAGAUAUAUGGAGGAACACCGGUGGCGAAAGCGGCUCUCUGGCCUGUAACUGACACUGAGGCUCGAAAGCGUGGGGAGCAAACAGGAUUAGA
rnacentral:rRNA from 1 species